AUGGGAGCAUCCCAAAGCACUCGUCAGUCCCUGGAGGUGUCUGUUACCCCAACAAGUGCCAGUCCUCAUGGAGCUGAUUCAGAACAAAGCUGCAGAGCAGGUGUUGGAAGGGUCAGCAUCACUGGAUGUGAUCCCUCUGGAGGUGCUGCCAGACCAUUGAGUGCUCCAUCCCUGCCCUCCAGACACCCUCUUCCUGGAGGAAAGUCGGCAACUUUGGGUUUAUUCCAUCUUUUCAGCCAUGCCAAAACCUAUUUAAUACCAGGUUUGCUGUGGGUUUGUUUGGGUUUGGUCCCACAAACGCCUCUGGGGCAGGUCAGUGCAUCCCCCAAGCCACCCUUUGGCUGUGCCUUUGGAGUUUGCAAAAUCUCUGUUGUUCUGCUUGAACAUCCCUCCCUCAGUCCCUAAGCAUCAGGGAAUAUUAUUGAUAAACAAUACAUGUCUGAUGGAGACCCUGGUGAUUUUCCUGGUACAAAAGGCUGCUGCAUCCUCUGUGAUAAUUCCCCUUUUUUUCCCCUCCUUGUUGGCUUUGUGGUUUUGUGAUUUAUUUGUGGGCUGGCAGGCGUCCACAGCCCUGCAGGAAAUGGAUGUCUGCUCUUGUGUUUGGGGGGGCCAUAUAAACGUGUAAUUUUCCCACUACAUUAAUUACAGACGUUUCUCCCUGGCUGGAGCAGCUCCACGGUUCCUGUGCCCUUUUGGUUUGCUCUCCCCAGCCCAGGCUGAGAGUAUUUAUAGGGAACCCCAGCUCUGACAUCCUCAGCUGAGCUGGGGAAAAGUUAAAGAACUUGGCCACAAAAACUGUACAGGGGAAACUCUAGAAAUUUUUUACUUGAUAGUAACUCCAGGACAGCAGCACGGCCGAGUUUUCCCUGGCUAUUCCUCCUGCUGACAUUUUUCCUCAAGGAUAAAAGUGGUUUGCCCUAAGAAAACAACCCUCUUGCUAUGGAAAAGAAAUUGUAGGGCAAUUUACUUUGGAAUAGCUGUGCUACCUAAUUCCUGGCUCCUGGAGAGAGACCCAGCUAGACUUGGAGCAAAGAAAGGAAACCCGAGGAUAAAUUCAGUGUGGUUGAAUCAGGUUUUGCUGGAGGAAAGUGUGGACAAGCCUCCCUGAGGCCCUGGCACAGGGUGUCCACAGAAGCUGUGGCUGCCCUGGAUCCCUGGAAGUGUCCAAGGCCAGGCUGGAUGGGGUUUGGAGCAUCCUGGGAUAGCGGAAGGUGUCACUGGAAUGUCAGGGGGUGGAACUGGAUGAGUUUUGAGGUCCUUUCAAACCAAACCACUCUGGGAUUCUAUGGUCUGGACCAGCAGUGGAGUAAAAAAUUCAUAAUUUCCAGCAGACUGAAUGUACCUACGGUGUCCUUUGGCAUGUAUCGUGGGUUCUCCAUGGAUUCCUGAUGAAACAGGAAUGUCC
ensembl:lncRNA